rnacentral:misc_RNA from 1 species
GAUGAAGAACGGCAGCGAAAUGCGAUACUUGGUGUGAAUUGCAGAAUCCCGUGAACCAUCGAGUCUUUGAACGCAAGUUGCGCCCGAAGCCAUUAGGCCGAGGGCACACCUGCCUGGGCGUCACACGUCGUUGCCCCCCCAUCUACUCCUUCGGGAUUGCGGGGGGCGGAUGAUGGCCUCCCGUGCGCCUCGUCGCGCGGUUGGCAUAAAUGCCAAGUCCUCGGCGACGCACGCCACGACAAUCGGUGGUUGCGAAACCUCGGUUGCCCGUCGUGUGCGGUCGUCGCGCAUCGAGGGCUCGAAAAAAUUGCCGGGCUCCGGCUCGGCUUUCAACGCGACCCCAGGUCAGGCGGGGUUACCCGCUGAAUUUAAGCAUAUCAAUAAGCGGAGGA